rnacentral:lncRNA from 10 species
CGCCUGAGGAGCUGCGUCUCCGCUGGAGGGCAGCGGAGACAGCCGAAGCCAGGCUUGGUGGCUCACGCCUGUAUUCCCAGUAGUUUGAGAGGCCGACGCGGGAGGAUUGAUUGAGCCCAGGAGGUCGAGGCUGCACUGAGCUAUGAUAACGCCACUGCACUCCAGACUGGGCGACACAGUGAGACACCCUCACCCCUUAAAAGAACUAGAGAAGAAGAAGGAAGGGAGGGAAGGGAAAGGAAAGGGGAAGGGAAAGUGAAAGGGAAGAAAAGGGAAGGGAAGGGAGAGAAGGACCCAAAGAAGCAAUUAUGGUCAGUUACUUAUCUAUACGGAAUUAAACAAAGAAUAAUGAGAAUAACGAUAAUAGUAAUACCGGUAGUAAGAGUAGUAAUAGCAAGUUGUGAAAAGCAAUUAAGUUAUCUGGAGAGGCUUAAGAGUUAUUUUAGCAAGGUGUGUACAGGAUUCUCUCACUCUUGACUCCCGUCCUUAAUAAGAGUGCUGCAUUCCUUCUAAUAUAGGGAGGAUGUCUCUCAUAUGGUAAUUUCAUCUGCUUCUAAGAAACAGAAAAGAG